CUCACAAAUUUUCAAUUGAAUCGGACAACCUGUUGUCGGGUUGCUGCCCUAAAAUUGGUGAUUUUAAGGAAAUUUUGCAGUUUUUGGUUAUUAUCUUGAAUACUAUUAAAGAUAGAGAUAAACUGUAAACAGCAAUAAUGUUCAGCAAAGUAAGAUCUACAAAUAAGUCAGCAUGAUCAAAAUUGUUAGAGGACCCCUUAAGGAGUUAUUGCCCUUUAUAGUCAAUAUUGAACAACUUUUCGUCAUUUUUGUAACUUGUAUAAAAAUCAUUUCUAAAACUACUUGGCCAAAUUUAACCAAACUUGGCCACAAUCAUAAUACUAGGGUAUCUUUUUUUUUUAAAAAGUGUCUAAUGACCCCGCCUACCAACGAAGAUGGCCAACAUCUGUAAACACAUUAACAGGUGAGCGACACAGGCUCUUGAGAGCCUCUAGUUUU
rnacentral:lncRNA from 1 species